UAUGGAAUCACUUUAGAUAUUUUUAGGAUUUUUUUUGAAGAUUUUUACUAAUUUUUGAAAAUAUUUACAAGAAUUUUCUUGCCAAUUUUGGGGGAUUUGUUUAAAAAUAAAACUUUUAAGGGAAACUUUUAAGGAAUUAUCAGAAUUUUCUUCCUGAAGGUUUUGCAAAUUUUCAGAAAUUUGGGGAAUUUUUUUGCUCAAUUUUGGGAUUUUUCUCAGACAAGGAAACAAUAUUUUUUGGUGCCCGUAAAUGAGGACAACAGGAGGGUUAACUGAGGAGAAAAUUAUGAAUAAAUUAUAAUAUCAGAGGACUAGUUAGUAAGAAUAAGAAAAUUAUCAUCUAAUUCAUAUUUUAAGUUGAUGAAGUUAGUCUUUAUGGGUCUGGAUUCUAUUUUUUGUCCAAUAUAUGUGUACAUUUGUAUUAUCUUUCACAUGAAUACCUCUGUUUUUUGCAAUUUCCUAAUUUGAAAUGACCGUUUUAAUCCAGUUUUAGUGUAAAUGCGGGAGACUAAAUGUCGUUUUUAUGGUUUUCUGUUUAAGUAUAAUUUUACAUAAAACUGGACACAAGUUGUGAAGUUUGACAACAGUUUAUAAGGAAAUAAUCAUUUAUUGAAUUAAUAUAUUAAAAUGCAUUGUAUUACACACAAAUAACUGUGUUUUCUGUUUUAAAAUGAUCAUUUUUUAUUCAGUUUUAGUGCAGCCUAAAUGUCGGAGAUUAAAGUGUCCUCUCUUUUUUUGCUGUUUUCCUCCCCGACCACAUGGGGGCAGUAGCGCCUCUUCCGGACCACCUCCACCUUCUCCACGCAGCAUCUUUCCCUUCAGGUGAGUCUGCGUGGAGUUUCCUACCUGAUCCCGUCACGGAGCCGCGCUCAGCCUCGAACCAGCGGCGGCAGGAAACGCGGCGAUGAGGCGGAGACAUCUGGCACCGGGGUCCGGACUGCGAAACUAAAUAACGGGCCGGUGAGGAGCGGAGGGGAGGAGAGGGACGAGCAGAAGGAGGCAGGAGGGGGGAGAAGUGUUGAGUCAGUGCAGGGGGGACGAUGGGAACUGUUGGUUCUGCAGGAUUCCGUCUCUGAACAGGUAGAAACCACAGCAGGAGCGACGCUGGACACGGAACGUUUACGCGGAGCCGCUUUGACGCACCGCUCAUCCAAACGGCCACCAGGUUGAAUUCUUCCUCUCCGGAGUCAGAACCAGGAAGCUCCAUGGGAGUUUUAAGCUCCUCGUUUAAUUAAAGGACCUUUCUAUAAAUGCGAGGAAGUCCUGCAGUUCUCAUUUAAAUACUUUGGUUAAAUUAUAAAAGCCCUUUUUUUCUGUCAGAAGGUGGACCCCUGGCCCUUUUGUUUGAAGCUAUAAACCUGCUGCUCUAAAGGCUUUCUGUUGGAUUAUCAGGACUCUGCUGAAGGUCUUUGAUCCGGUACCAUCUCAUCGCUUUUUCACGUUCCUCCACUCUUGACAUUGAGGUUUUUUUUGUGGGAUUACGUACUAACCCUUGGGACGUCCUCUUCAAGCAUCCUUUUU
ensembl:lncRNA